UACAAUUCUAUAAAAUACAAUUCCGAAUUUUUCAUUUAUUUAUGUUUAUUAUUAACAUCAUGUUAAAUUUGAAGAUGAUUUCAGCAGCAGCAGCAGUGUGGUGGUGAUCUCACUUGUCUGUCUCUGUGUCACAGCCUUGUUAUGAAAAGGCCAAGGCUUGGGUUCUAGACAACAUCACCUGGGUUCUGGGCUUCGGCAUGUGUCUUGGCAUCGUGCAGAUCCUGGCUCUGGCCUUCUCCAUGCUGAUGUACUGCCAAAUCCUGAGAGUGGAAAAGUACAUGGACUGAUCCUGAGCUUUAAUAAGAGCUAAGAGAAUUCCAGUGUACCAGGACGCCAAAUUCAACAAAACCCUGAUUUACUGGUUUUAGUUUAAUUUACUUCCAUGUUUUUCAGCUGAACUUUUCUACCUGUUUCUGUAGUUUAUUAAAGUCCACUUCCAUGCAGAUGAAGUGGUUUACUCCAAUACUGCACACUUUAGUUAUUAAUAAACUGUGUGUACUGAUCACAUGUAUUACUUUAAAUAUGUUGAGAGUGAUGAUGAAGUUGAGCUUAAUGAGCGUUCUGUAUGACGUGUUACUGUCUAAUAAAGUCUUGUCAAAUAUUAA